rnacentral:piRNA from 1 species
UCUCUUUGGUGAUGAACAGCAGGAGCUGA